UUAGGAAUUAGGCAAAUUAAGUCCGUAACUUAGGGAAAAGGACUGCCACUGGUUGUGAGGGCGACUAGCUUGUCUGAGCGAUUGGUGGUCGCAGCGAAAUGGCUCUGCCGACUGUUUAACAAAAACACAGGUCUCUGCGAAAGCGAAAGCUGACGUAUAGGGGCUGACGCCUGCCCAGUGCCGGAAGGUUAAGGGGAGAGGUGAUGAGCUUUGAACCGAAGCCCCGGUGAACGGCGGCCGUAACUAUAACGGUCCUAAGGUAGCGAAAUUCCUUGUCGGGUAAGUUCCGACCCGCACGAAAGGCGUAACGAGCAGAGCACUGUCUCAACAAGGGACCCGGCGAAGUUGAAACAGCGGUGAAGAUGCCGUUUACCCGCAGCAGGACAAAAAGACCCCGUGGAGCUUUACUGUAGCUUGACAUUGAGUUAGGGCUUUGUCUGUGUAGGAUAGGUGGGAGGCUAAGAAGCUGGUCCGCUAGGAUCGGUGGAGUCGACGUUGAAAUACCACCCUGAUGGAGUCUUGGCUCUAACCUGUGGCCCUGAUCGAGCAUGGGGACAGUGUCUGGUAGGCAGUUUGACUGGGGCGGUCGCCUCCUAAAGAGUAACGGAGGCGCCCAAAGGUUCCCUCAGGCUGAAUGGAAACCAGCCGUAGAGUGUAAAGGCAUAAGGGAGCUUGACUGCGAGACAAACAAGUCGAGCAGAGACGAAAGUCGGGCUUAGUGAUCCUACGGUUCCGAGUGGAAGGGCCGUGGCUUAACGGACAAAAGCUACCCCGGGGAUAACAGGCUGAUCUCCUCCAAGAGUUCACAUCGACGAGGAGGUUUGGCACCUCGAUGUCGGCUCGUCGCAUCCUGGGGCUGAAGUAGGUCCCAAGGGUCCGGCUGUUCGCCGGUUAAAGCGGUACGCGAGCUGGGUUCAGACCGUCGUGAGACAGGUCGGUCUCUAUCCGCUGUGGGCGAAGGGGAUUUGAGAGGGGCUGCCCCUAGUACGAGAGGACCGGGGUGGACAGACCGCUGGUGUACCAGUUGUCUCGCCAGAGGCAUUGCUGGGUAGCUAAGUCUGGCAGCGAUAACCGCUGAAAGCAUCUAAGUGGGAAACGCGCCUCAAGAUGAGAUCCCCCACUGUAAAAGGGUAAGUGCACCGGGAGACUACCGGUUAGAUAGGCGGCAGGUGUACGCACUGUGAGGUGUUGAGCCGAGCCGUACUAAUGCACGAGGACUUAAUCCA
rnacentral:rRNA from 1 species